CACCAGAGUAGCAAUUGGAGGGCAAGUCUGGUGCCAGCAGCCGCGGUAAUUCCAGCUCCAAUAGCGUAUAUUACCAGAGUAGCAAUUGGAGGGCAAGUCUGGUGCCAGCAGCCGCGGUAAUUCCAGCUCCAAUAGCGUAUAUUAAACUUGUUGCAGUUAAAAAGCUCGUAGUUGAAUUUUAGCGUGUUCGAGUUUGCCAUUCGUUUGGCUUUUUCGAGUUCGCUUUUGGGUUUUCCCUUUUUACUUUGAGAAAAUUAGAGUGUUUCAAGCAGACUUUUGUCUUGAAUACUUCAGCAUGGAAUAAUAGAGUAGGACUUUGGUUCUAUUUUGUUGGUUAUUGAACCUUAGUAAUGGUUAAUAGGAACGGUUGGGGGCAUUCGUAUUUAACUGUCAGAGGUGAAAUUCUUAGAUUUGUUAAAGACGAACUACUGCGAAAGCAUUUGCCAAGGACGUUUCCAUUAAUCAAGAACGAAAGUUAGGGGAUCGAARACGAUCAGAUACCGUCGUAGUCCUAACC
rnacentral:rRNA from 1 species